rnacentral:rRNA from 1 species
UACGUAGGGUGCGAGCGUUGUCCGGAAUCAUUGGGCGUAAAGAGCUCGUAGGCGGCCUGUCGCGUCGGAUGUGAAAACCCGGGGCUCAACCUCGGGCCUGCAUUCGAUACGGGCAGGCUGGAGUUCGGCAGGGGAGACUGGAAUUCCUGGUGUAGCGGUGAAAUGCGCAGAUAUCGGGAGGAACACCAGUGGCGAAGGCGAUCACCUGGGGUUGUUCUGACGCUGAGGCACGAAAGCCAGGGGAGCGAACGGG